AAGGGCUUAGCUUAAUUAAAGCGUUUGUUUUGCAUACAGGUGAUGCAGGUUGGUAUAUUUGCAGUCCU
rnacentral:tRNA from 1 species